rnacentral:other from 2 species
GAUUGCCUGCGAUACAGGUGUACUUCGAUUGUAAUUCGAACCGAACAUUCAAUCACACCGGGAGCCUCAUAUUGAAGAAUCAACAACAUGCCUGGUAACGUGCCGGGAAGUUGAAGGUUCUUCUGCGGGCACCCACCUGCCUUAGGCGGGUUCGUGAUCAAGAGAAGCUAACCGUAUCGCGGGCAUAAU